GACGAACGCUGGCGGCGUGCCUAAUACAUGCAAGUAGAACGCACAGUUUAUACCGUAGCUUGCUACACCAUAGACUGUGAGUUGCGAACGGGUGAGUAACGCGUAGGUAACCUGCCUGGUAGCGGGGGAUAACUAUUGGUAACGAUAGCUAAUACCGCAUAAUAUUAAUUAUUGCAUGAUAAUUAAUUGAAAGGUUCAAUUGCACCACUACCAGAUGGUCCUGCGUUGUAUUAACUAGUAGGGGAGGUAACGGUUCAACUAGGCCACGAUACAUAGCCGACCUGGGGGGGUGGACGACCAAACUUGGAAUUGAGAAACGCCCCAACUCCUAAGGGAGGGAACAGUAGGGGAAUAUCGGAAAUGGACGGAAGGCUUACCGAGGAACGCCGGCGUGGUGAAGGAAGUUUUCGGAUUGUAAAGCUCUGUUGUAAGGGAAGGAAGGGUGGGAGGGUAAAAAGUUCACGCUGUGACGGUACCUUAAGAGAAAGGGACGGCUAACUACGUG
rnacentral:rRNA from 1 species